rnacentral:rRNA from 1 species
AUGCAGUCGAACGGUAGCAGGAAGNAAGCUUGCUUUCUUUGCUGACGAGUGGCGGACGGGUGAGUAAUGCUUGGGAAUCUGGCUUAUGGAGGGGGAUAACUGCGGGAAACUGCAGCUAAUACCGCGUAAAGUCUUUGGACUAAAGGGGGCGUUUGCUCUUGCCAUAAGAUGAGCCCAAGUGNGAUUAGGUAGUUGGUGGGGUAAUGGCUCACCAAGCCGUCGAUCUCUAGCUGGUCUGAGAGGAUGACCAGCCACACCGGGACUGAGACACGGCCCGGACUCCUACGGGAGGCAGCAGUGGGGAAUAUUGCGCAAUGGGGGGAACCCUGACGCAGCCAUGCCGCGUGAAUGAAGAAGGCCUUCGGGUUGUAAAGUUCUUUCGGUGAUGAGGAAGGCAGUUUGGUUAAUAGCCAAGCUGAUUGACGUUAGUCACAGAAGAAGCACCGGCUAACUCCGUGCCAGCAGCCGCGGUAAUACGGAGGGUGCGAGCGUUAAUCGGAAUAACUGGGCGUAAAGGGCACGCAGGCGGAUUUUUAAGUGAGGUGUGAAAGCCCCGGGCUUAACCUGGGAAUUGCAUUUCAGACUGGGAAUCUAGAGUACUUUAGGGAGGGGUAGAAUUCCACGUGUAGCGGUGAAAUGCGUAGAGAUGUGGAGGAAUACCGAAGGCGAAGGCAGCCCCUUGGGAAUGUACUGACGCUCAUGUGCGAAAGCGUGGGGAGCAAACAGGAUUAGAUACCCUGGUAGUCCACGCUGUAAACGCUGUCGAUUUGGGGGUUGGGGUUUAACUCUGACGCCCGUAGCUAACGUGAUAAAUCGACCGCCUGGGGAGUACGGCCGCAAGGUUAAAACUCAAAUGAAUUGACGGGGGCCCGCACAAGCGGUGGAGCAUGUGGUUUAAUUCGAUGCAACGCGAAGAACCUUACCUACUCUUGACAUCCAGAGAAUCCUGUAGAGAUACGGGAGUGCCUUCGGGAGCUUUGAGACAGGUGCUGCAUGGCUGUCGUCAGCUCGUGUUGUGAAAUGUUGGGUUAAGUCCCGCAACGAGCGCAACCCUUAUCCUUUGUUGCCAGCGAUACGGUCGGGAA